rnacentral:rRNA from 1 species
GACGAACGCUGGCGGCGUGCUUAACACAUGCAAGUCGAACGGAAAGGCCCUGCUUUCGUGGGGUGCUCGAGUGGCGAACGGGUGAGUAACACGUGAGUAUCCUGCCCUUGACUUUGGGAUAACUUCAGGAAACUGGGGCUAAUACCGGACAGCAGCCCCUGCUGCAUGGAGGGGGUUGGAAAGUUUCGGCGGUUGGGGAUGGACUCGCGGCUGAUCAGUUUGUUGGUGGGGUAGUGGCUUACCAAGGCUGUGACGGGUAGCCGGCCUGAGAGGGUGACCGGCCACAUUGCGACUGCGAUACGGCCCAGACUCCUACGGGAGGCAGUAGUGGGGAAUAUUGCACAAUGGGCCGAAGCGUGAUGCAGCAACGUCGCGUGCGGGAUGACGGCCUUCGGGGUGUGAACCGCUUUCGCCUGUGACGAAGCGUGAGUGACGGUAAUGGGUAAAGAAGCACCGGCUAACUACGUG